rnacentral:lncRNA from 1 species
GCCACUCCAGGUCUUCCACUUUGGCCAUUGGAAAGAGGCACUCAUUUUAAUCAAGAGAACACGCAAUUUAGAGCCGCAUCCUUUCUACAGAGCCCCAAGUCAAUUGUCUGCCAUUCGUGAAGCUGGCCUAGCCUUGCUCAGGCUACAAUAUCUCAGGGAGGACCUGAUAUCAGCAACCCACUCAGAACACUCCUCCAUGGCACAUCCCAUGGUGGCUCAGGAGCCUCUUGGAGGUAAAGAGAGAUGAUGAGAGCGACUCCAAGUAUACUUUGAGCCCCUGUGAGCAAAUCCGGUGAACCCUGGCCUUGGAAUUAACUCAAAGGUCCAUUGACUGCUAUGUGUUUCAUCUUGCAAAAGGCCUCACUCAGAGGAGGACAGCAAAUAAAGAAAUGGCCUGGCCACACAAUGGGACCUUGGGGGUCACAGUGACGCGCAACCUCACAGCAGGGAACAAGGAAGGUACAAGUAGCACACUUUCAGAGCCAGUGUUUUGCUCCGGCUGUUGUGAAAGUUAAUAUUGAUUACCAUCUCGACAGGGUCUAUAAUCACCCAAAGGACGAUCCAAUGGGCAUGCCUGUGGGUGACUGUCUAGACUGGUUUAAUUCAAGUGGAAAGAACUACUACCCUAAACGUGAGUGGCGCCAUUCCACGAAAUGAAGUCCUGCCCUGAAUAAAAAGGAGAUCGUCAGCUGUGCACCAGCAUCCAUCUUCCUGCUCCCUGACUGAGGUGCGACCAGCCUCGUCAUGCCCCUGCAGUUGUGCCUUUCCACCAUGAUGGACUAUCCCCUGGAACCGUGUGAGCUUAAUUAAACC